CGCCCUGAACGCACCUACCGUGGAUGCAAUCCCAAACAACGUUGGAGAGUGGCUUUAACCAAUCGCUUUCAUGUUCGAUUAACUCGAUGACCGGAGUGGUCCAAUCGUCUGCAGAAAGCCGCUACUGAGAAAACGUGGACUCCAAUCCUGGUCCUCAAGGGCGUGUACUACAAAUCUUUUCUUCAGAGCGUCGUUGUGUAUCUUACGACAGAGUACCGUAUCCCGUCUGCAUCUUGUCUGCAUUUCAUGAAUGAACAGAAAAUAAGGAUUUUCGAGUCGCACCCGAUACAAGCAAAAGAUCUGAAGGAGUGGCAUGUAGAGAGAGAUCCCAAGAGAUAGACUGACGUCAAUGCAACACAGACAGCAGCAGAUUGCCUGUGUUUAUGGUA